UUACAUAUAAUUAAUAUUUGUCUUUCAAGUAAUAUUCUCUCUGUCCCAUAAUAAUAGUAGCAAGCGAAUAUUUAAACAGUAAUUAUUUGGCAAAUGCAGCUUUGAAUAUCAACUCAUUGUAAAAGUGGCAUGAAAAAGCAAAAAUCAAAUUCCGAUUGUCCAGUUCUUGAAGCAUCGAAAGAAAAAUGAAAAAUUGCAAAAAGGUGCAAUUACGUUAGCUGCAAAAGGAAAUUAUUGAAAAAUCCAGAAACUAUCUGAACACCCAAAAUAAAAAUUAGGAAGGGAGUAUAUAAAUUACCUAAAAUCACUUAUGACGGAACUGCGAUCAUCAUGUAUCGAAUGCUGUUCAAACCCACUCAAUG